UGAGGAUACAGCUCAGUUGGUAGAGUGUUUUCCUCUCAAGCACAAAGCCCUGGGUUCAAUCUCCAGCACCACAA
rnacentral:tRNA from 1 species